UCGGUGAGGUAACCUUUAUGGAGCCAGCCGCCGAAGGUGGGGCAGAUGAUUGGGGUGAAGUCGUAACAAGGUAGCCGUAUCGGAAGGUGCGGCUGGAUCACCUCCUUUCUAAGGA
rnacentral:rRNA from 1 species